rnacentral:rRNA from 1 species
CCGGAUUUAUUAGGUUUAAAGGGUCCGCAGGCGGAAUAUUAAGUCAGUGGUGAAAGCCUACAGCUCAACUGUAGAACUGCCAUUGAAACUGUUAUUCUUGAGUAUGGAUGAAGUGGGCGGAAUAUGUCAUGUAGCGGUGAAAUGCAUAGAUAUGACAUGGAACACCAAUUGCGAAGGCAGCACACUAAACCAUUACUGACGCUCAUGGACGAAAGCGUGGGGAGCGAACAGGAUUAGAUACCCUGGUAGUCCACGCCGUAAACGAUGAUCACUAGAUGUUGGCGAUAUAAUGUCAGCGUUCAAGAGAAAUCGAUAAGUGAUCCACCUGGGGAGUACGUUCGCAAGAAUGAAACUCAAAGGAAUUGACGGGGGCCGCACAAGCGGAGGAGCAUGUGGUUUAAUUCGAUGAUACGCGAGGAACCUUACCAAGGCUUAAAUGUAAUAUGACCGGUUGAGAGAUCAACCUUUUUUCGAACAGAUUACAAGGUGCUGCAUGGUUGUCGUCAGCUCGUGCCGUGAGGUGUCGGGUUAAGUCCCAUAACGAGCGCAACCCCUAUUUUUAGUUACCAGCGAGUAAUGUCGGGAACUCUAGAAAAACUGCCUGUGCAAACAGAGAGGAAGGUGGGGAUGACGUCAAAUCAUCACGGCCCUUAUGUCUUGGGCUACACACGUGCUACAAUGGUUACUACAAUGUGAUGCCAUCUGGUGACAGAGAGCUAAUCAAUAAAGGUAAUCUCAGUUCGGAUUGGAGUCUGCAACUCGACUCUAUGAAGUUGGAUUCGCUAGUAAUCGUAUAUCAGCCAUGAUACGGUGAAUACGUUCCCGGGCCUUGUACACACCGCCCGUCAAGCCAUGGAAGUUUGGGGUGCCUGAAGUCAGUAACCGCAAGGAACUGCCUAGGGUAAGACGAAUAACUAGGGCUAGUCGUAACAAGGUUACCGU